CCAGAUAGCUCAGUCGGUAGAGCAGUGGACUGAAAAUCCUCGUGUCGGCAGUUCGAUUCUGCCUCUGGC
rnacentral:tRNA from 2 species